CCCCGCCUUAACUGAUGACAUUCCACCAUUGUGAUUUGUUCCUGCCCCACCUUAGCUGAGUGAUUAACCCUGUGAAUUUCCUUCUCCUGGCUCAGAAGCUCCCCGACUGAGCACCUUGUGACCCCCGCCCCUGCCCACCAGAGAACAACCCCCUUUGACUGUAAUUUUCCAUUACCUUCCCAAAUCCUAUAAAACGGCCCCACCCCUAUCUCCCUUCGCUGACUCUCUUUUCGGACUCAGCCCGCCUGCACCCAGGUGAAAUAGACAGCCAUGUUGCUCACACAAAGCCUGUUUGCUGGUCUCUUCACACUGACUCGAGUGAAAUUUGGUGCCGUGACUAGGAUCGGGGGACCUCCCUUGGGAGAUCAAUCCCCCGUCCUCCUACACUUUGCUCUGUGAGAAAGAUCCACCUACAACCUCAGGUCCUCAGACCAACCAGCCCAAGAAACAUCUCACCAAUUUCAAAUCCGGUAAGCGGCCUCUUUUUACUCUUUUCUCCAGCUUCCCUCACUGUCCCUCAACCUCUUUCUCCUUUCAAUCUUGGUGCCACACUUCAAUCUCUCCCUUCUCUUAAUUUCAAUUCCUUUCAUUUUCUGGUAGAGACAAAGGAGACACGUUUUAUCCGUGGACCCAAAACUCCGGCGCCAGUCACGGACUGGGAAGGCAGCCUUCCCUUGGUGUUAAAUCACUGCAGGGACGCCUCUCUGAUUAUUCACCCAUGUUUCAAAGGUGUCAGACCACGCAGGGACGCCUGCCUUGGUCCUUCACCCUUAGUGGCAAGUCCUGCUUUUCUGGGGAAGGGGCAAGUACCCCAACCCCUUCUCUCUGUGUCUCUACCCCUUCUCUGCUUUUCUGGGGGAGGGGCAAGUACCCCUCAACCCCUUCUCCUUCACCCUUAGUGACAAGUCCUGCUUUUCUAGGAGGCAAGAACCCCCAAUCCCUUAUUUCCACACCCUGACCUCUUAUCUCUGUGCCCCAAUCCCUUAUUUCCACACCCCAACCUCUUAUCUCUGUGCCCCAAUCCCUUAUUUCCGUGCCCCAACCCCCCUUCCCACUUUUCUGGAGGAUAAGAACCCCCGAACCCCUUCCCUCCGUGUCUCUAUGCUCUCUUUUCUCUGGGUUUGCCUCCUUCACUAUGGGCAACCUUCCACCUACCAUUCCUCCUUCUUCUCCUUUAGCCUAUAUUCUUAAGAAUUUAAAACCUCUUCAACUCUCACCUGACCUAAAAUCUAAGCAUCUUAUUUUCUUCUGCAAUGCCACUUGACCCCAAUACAAACUUGACAGUAGUUCCAAAUAGCCAGAAAAUGGCACUUCCAAUUUUUCCAUCCUACAAGAUCUAAAUAAUUCUUUUCGUAAAAUGGGCAAAUGGUCUGAGGUGCCUGACAUCCAGGCAUUCUUUUACACAAUAGUCCCUUCCUAGUCUCUGUGCCCAGUGCAACUUCUCCCAAAUCUUCCUUCUUUCCCUCCUGCCUGUCCCCUCAGUCCCAACCCCAAGCAUCGCUGAGUCUUUCUAAUCUUCCUUUUCUACAGACCCAUCUGACCUCUCCCCUCCUUGCCAGGCCAAGCUACGUCCCAAUUCUUCCUCAGCCUCCGCUCCUCCACCCUGCAAUCUUUUUAUCACCUCCCCUCCUCACACCUGGUCCUGCUUACAGUUUCAUUCUGUGACUAGCCCUCCCCCACCUGCCCAGCAAUUUACUCUUAAAAAAGUGGCUGGAGCCAAAGGCAUAGUCAAGGUUAAUGCUCCUUUUUCUUUAUGCCAAAUCAGAAGUGUUUAGGCUCUUUUUCAUCAAAUAUAAAAACCCAGCCCAGUUCAUGGCUCGUUUGGCAGCAACCCUGAGACGCUUCACAGCCCUAGACCCUAAAAGGUCAAAAGGCCAUCUUAUUCUCAAUAUACAUUUUAUUACCCAAUCUGCUCCUAACAUUAAAUAAAACCCCAAAAAUUGGAAUCUGGUCCUCAAACCCCACAACAGGACUUAAUUAACCUCACCUUCAAGGUGUACAAUAAUAAAAAAAAGUUGCAAUUCCUUGCCUCCACUGUGAGACAAAGCCCAGCCACAUCUCCAGCACACAAGAACUUCCAAACCCCUGAACUGCAGCAGUCAGGCAUUCCUCCAGAACCUCCUCCCCCAGGAGCUUGCUACAAGUGCCAGAAAUCUGACCACCAGGCCAAGGACUGCCGGCAGCCCAGGAUUCCUCCUAAGCCACGUCCCAUCUGUGUGGGACCCCACUGCAAAUCGGACUGUUCAACUCACCUGGCAGCCACUCCCAGAGCCCCUGGAACUCUGGCCCAAGGCUCUCUGACUGACUCCUUCCCAGAUCUUCUCGGCUUAGCGGCUGAAGACUGACACUGCCCGAUUGCCUCGGAAGCCCCCUAGACCAUCAUGGACGCCGAGCUUCAGGUAACUCUCACAGUGGAAGGUAAGCCCGUCCCCUUCUUAAUCAAUAUGGAGGCUACCCACUCCACAUUACCUUCUUUUUAAGGGCCUAUUUCCGUUGCCUCCAUAACUGUUGUGGGUAUUGACGGCCAGGCUUCUAAACCUCUUAAAACUCCCCAACUCUGGUGCCAACUUAGACAAUACUCUUUUAAGCACUCCUUUUUAGUUAUCCCCACCUGCCCAGUUCCCUUAUUAGGCUGAGACACUUUAACUAAAUUAUCUGCUUCCCUGACUAUUCCUGGACUACAGCUAUAUCUCAUUGCCGCCCUUCUUCCCAAUCCAAAGCCUCCUUUGCAUCCUCCUCUUGUAUCUCCCCAACUUAACCCACAAGUAUAAGAUACCUCUACUCCCUCCUUGGUGACCGAUCAUGCACCCCUUACCAUCUCAUUAAAACCUAAUCACCCUUACCCCACUCAACGCCAAUAUCCCAUCCCACAGCACGCUUUAAAAAGAUUAAAGCCUGUUAUCACUGGCCUGCUACAGCACAGCCUUUUAAAGCCUAUAAACUCUCCUUACAAUUCACCCAUUUUACCUGUCCUAAAACCAGACAAGCCUUACAACUUAGUUCAGGAUCUAUGCCUUAUCAACCAAAUUGUUUUGCCUAUCCACCCCGUGGUGCCAAAACCAUAUACUCUCCUAUCCUCAAUCCCUGCCUCUACAACCCAUUAUUCUGUUCUAGAUCUCAAACAUGCUUUCUUUACUAUUCCUUUGCACCCUUAAUCCCAGCCUCUCUUCGCUUUCACUUGGACUGACCCUGACACCCAUCAAGCUCAGCAAAUUACCUAGGCUGUACUGCCGCAAACCUUCACAGACAGCCCCCAUUAUUUCAAUCAAGCCCAAAUUUCUUCCUCAUCUGUUACCUAUCUUGGCAUAAUUCUCAUAAAAACACACAUGCUCUCCCUGCCAUUCUUGUCAGACUGAUCUCUCAAACCCCAGCACCUUCUACAAAACAACAACUCCCUUCCUUCCUAGGCAUAGUUGGUGCAGUCAGAAUUCUUACACAAGAGCCAGGACCGCACCCUGUAGCCUUUCUGUCCAAACAACUUGACCUUACUGUUUUAGCCUAGCCCUCAUGUCUGCGUGCAGCGGCUGCCGCUGCUUUAAUACCGUUAGAGGCCCUAAAAAUCACAAACUAUGCUCAACUCACUCUCUACAUUUCUCAUAACUCCCAAAAUCUAUUUUCUUCCUCAUACCUGAUGCAUAUACUUUCUGCUCCCUGGCUCCUUCAGCUGUACUCACUCUUUAAGUCCUACAAUUACCAUUGUUCCUGGCCCGGACUUCAAUAAGGCCUCUCACAUUAUUCCUGAUACCACACCUGACCCCCAUGACUGUAUCUCUCUGAUCCACCUGAUAUUCACCAUUUCCCCAUAUUUCCUUCUUUCCUGUUCCCCACCCUGAUCACGCUUGAUUUAUUGAUGGCAGUUCCACCAGGCCUAAUCGCCACACACAAGCAAAGGCAGGCUAUGCUGUAGUACAAGCCACUAGCCCGCCUCUCAGAACCUCUCAUUUCCUUUCCAUCCUGGAAAUCUAUCCUCAAGGAAAUAACUUCUCAGUGUUCCAUCUGCUAUUCUACUACUCCUCAGGGAUUAUUCAGGCCCCCUCCCUUCCCUACACAUCAAGCUUGAGGAUUUGCCCCCACCCAGGACUGGCAAAUUAGCUUUACUCAACAUUCCGGAGCCAGGAAACUAAAAUACCUCUUAGGCUGAAUAGACACUUUCACUGAAUAAGUAAAGGCCUUUCCUACAGGGUCUGAGAAGGCCACCGCAGUCAUUUCUUCCCUUCUGUCAGACAUAAUUCCUCAGUUUAGCCUUCCCACCUCUAUACAGUCUGAUAACAGACCAGCCUUUAUUAGUCAAAUCAGCCAAGCAGUUUUUCAGGCCCUUAGUAUUCAGUGAAACCUUUACAUCCUUUACGGUCCUCCGUCUUCAAGAAAAGUAGAAUGGACUAAAGGUCUUUUAAAAACACACCUCACCAAGCUCAGCCACCAACUUAAAAAGGACUGGACAAUACUUUUACCACUUUCGCUUCUCAGAAUUCAGGCCUGUCCUCAGAAUGUUACAGGAUACAGCCCAUUUAAGCUCCUGUAUAGAUGCUCCUUUUUAUUAGGCCCCAGUCUCAUUCAACACCAGACCAACUUAGACUGUGCCCCAAAAAAACUUGUCAUCCCUACUAUCUUCUGUCUAGUCAUACUCCUAUUCACCAUUCUCAACUACUCAUACAUGCCCUGCUCUUGUUUACACUGCCGGUUUACACUGUUUCUCCAAGCCAUCACAGCUGAUAUCUCCUGGUGCUAUCCCCAAACUGCCACUCUAAACUCUUGAAGUAAAUAAAUAAUCUUUGCUGGCAAGGCUAGGCUGAACCUCCUUGGGCACUCUCUAAUCAGAUGUCCUAGGUCCUCCCAAUUCUUAGACCUUUUAUACCUGUUUUUCUCCUUCUCUUAUUCCAUUUAGUUUUUCAAUUCAUACAAAACCGUAUCCAGGCCAUCACCAAUCAUUCUAUACGACAAAUGUUUCUUCUAACAACCCCACAGUAUCACCCCUUACCGCAAGAUCUUUCUUCAGCUUAAUCUCUCCCACUCUAGGUUCCCACACCGCCCCUAAUCCCACUCAAAGCACCCCUGAGAAACAUCGCCCAUUCUCUCUCCAUACCACCUGCAAAAAUUUUCGCCGCCCCAACACUUCAACACUAUUUUGUUUUAUUUUUCUUAUUAAUAAAAGAAGGCAGGAAUGUCGGGCCUCUGAGCCCAAGCCAAGCCAUCGCAUCCCCUGUGACUUGCAUGUAUAUGCCCAGAUGGCCUGAAGUAACUGAAGAAUCACAAAAGAAGUAAAAAGGCCCUGCCCUGCCUUAACAGAUGACAUUCCACCAUUGUGAUUUGUUCCUGCCCCACCUUAGCUGAGUGAUUAACCCUGUGAAUUUCCUUCUCCUGGCUCAGAAGCUCCCCGACUGAGCACCUUGUGACCCCCGCCCCUGCCCACCAGAGAACAACCCCCUUUGACUGUAAUUUUCCAUUACCUUCCCAAAUCCUAUAAAAUGGCCCCACCCCAUGUCCCUUCGCUGACUCUCUUUUUGGACUCAGCCCGCCUGCACCCAGGUGAAAUAGACAGCCAUGUUGCUCACACAAAGCCUGUUUGCUGGUCUCUUCACACGGACUCGAGUGAAAAUACACACGCACACACACACAAAUGGACAUUUACCCCACUCCUGCUUUUGUGCUAUUGUGGUCAUGCAUAGUAUUUCUUUUUUGCUGUUGUUUUUCUUGUUGUUUUCACUGUCAUACAGGUAUUUAUGAUGGAAACAGAAUCAGAGUCUGACCUUCCUGACUUGAAGUACAAGGUUUUUGGGGUUUUUCAUUCGUGUUUUAUGUGUUUUUUAAAAAAUUAUUUGUGUUUUUAAUCGACAAAUAAAAACUGUAUACACAUAUGCUUCCUGAUUUAUAAUGGGGAUACAUCCCAAGAAACCUACUGUAAGUUGAAAAUAAUGUAAGUCAAACAUGCACUUAGUAAACCUAGCUUACCAAACAUCAUAGCUUAACCUAGCCUAGGUUAAACAUUCGUGGGACACUUACAUUAGUCUACAGUUAGGCAAAAUCAUCUAAUACAUAGCCUACUUUCUAAUAAAGUUAUUAGAAAGGAUUUUUAUUCAAAAAUCAAAAUAUGGUUUCUACUUAAUGUUUAUUGCUUUCACAUCAUCGUAAAGUGGAAAAAUAUAGGUCAAGCCAUCGUAAGUCAAGGAAUGUUGGUAUAUCGUAAUGGUGUACAUGAUAUUUUGAAAUAUGUAUACUUUAAUAGCUAUAGUGAGCUAAUUAACAUAUGAAUUGCCUCACAUUCUUAUCAUUUAUUUGUGGUGAGUAGAUAUAAAAUCUACUCUUUUAGCAAUUUUUAAGUAUGCAAUACACUAUUGGAAGGGUCUCUGGCUAAGUUAGUUUUCUUUCUGAACGGACAUUUCUCACUAACAAGUGCAGAAAUUCCCUGUGAACAGGGGAAGCGGUAAUGCUGACAACAAAACUCAGAUGUAAAUUUAGAAUAAAAAAGGGCUCAUGGUUGACUGCUUUGGGCUAUACUUCCAUAAUCUCUCAAAAAAAAAGUAAGGUAUUGUCCUCUGGAGUAUUUUGAUGGAAAAUUUUAGGAAGACUUGAUAAUCUGUAAAAGUUGUAGGCUUGAGAUCCUAAAAGAUCUGUAUCUAAAUUCAUGUAUUCUACAGAAGUUUACUUAAUUACUCCAGGUUUAUUUUUCCUUACUUGUGAGGUAAAUGUUGUAAUACACAUCUACCUCACAAAGGUGUUGUGAGAAUUCAAUGAUAUGUUAUUUAUAAAGAAAGUAUUGAUUACCUUCCUUCUGUCCCAGUGAUAGAUCACAACAAGAGAUCAUGAAGAGGGCAUGGCCGCCAUGUCAUUCUGGAGAGAGACAGAGUAAAACAAAGAAGACAGAGUCUUGUUCUGCAACCCAGGCUGGAGUGGAGGGCAGUGGUGUGAUCUCGGCUCACUUCAACCUCCGCCUCUUAGGUUCAAGUGAUUCUCCUGCCUCAGCCUCCCGAGUAGCUGGGACUACAGGCAUGCACCACCGCGCCCAGCUAUUUUUUGUAUUUUUAGUAGAAAUGGGAUUUCACCAUGUUAGCCAGGCUGGUCACGAACUCUUGACCUCAGGCAAUCCACCUACCUCGGCCUCCCGGUGUGCUGGGAUUACAGGCAUAAGCCACCAUGCCCAGCCCAAAAAGUCAUUUUAUUUAUUUUUUAAAAAGAUAUUGCCAAGUUUGAGAGGGAAAAAUGAUUCAUUUUACAACUGUGACUAGUACCAGAUCACAGAUAACAUAUGUAUAAAAAACUUGCCUUUGUGGUAGUAACAGAGGCAGUUGGAAGAAAGCAAGCAGAGAAAACGACCAACUGUUGAAGCUUUUAUCACCACUUUGUUCAAACAUGCACUAGAACAAUUUGGAAUGGUAUUAAUUUUCAACUUAAACCUAUAAUGUAAUAUCUCAAGAAUUGUUACAGAAAGACUGAGUAAAUAUAUACGAGAAAGAGCUCUAUAAUUUAAUUAUAUUAUAUAUUAGAGAAAGAGCUCUAUAUUCCACUAUAACAUGUGAUUUAGGCAUACCUCUCUCCUAGAAGAAAAUGCAAUUCAAGAGGCAAAUUCAUGAUUUCUUUUUCAGUGGGUUGGGUGGGCUAGCUUACACUAACUUUCAAAAACUCAACUUAUGACCAAAAUUCUACAAAGAAGUUUUAUGACUCAGGAUGUGUGUGUUAAUGUGCUUAUUUUAACAGCAGCCUCUCUACAAGUCUCCUAACUUAACCUGAUGGGAAAACACUUCCUACCACUAACAGCAUCUACUUGAUUACUGAUACUUUGAUCAUGGAGUUUGGGCAUGCCACUUGAUAGAAAUUUGAAGAGCAAUUAUAUUUUUCAAAAAGAGUUUUGAAUAAUGUUAAGAUAGAUUGCAACAUGACUAUCAAUUCUUCCCUUCCCAUCAAAGGAGAGAGUCCGUUUAUCCAGCCUUUGAAUCUUGAUUAUUCAUGUGACUUGCUUCACCCAAUGUAACAUUAAUAAGCACAAUACAAGCAGAGGCUUGCCAAGAACUUGGUUUGUUUCUAAUGCUUAGAAGAAGAAUGGUGUAUGCCAUAUUUCUGCAUUUAGAACUCACGUGGAGACAUGUGUGGCCCAAUUGCUUCUCUUUCAUCUCAGGCAAUAACCAGACACGGGACUGAGGCCAUCCAUGACCAGCCAGCCCUAGCCAACACACAACACACAAGCUGAUCACAGAUGCAUGAGUAAGCCUGAGACCAGCCAAGACCAGCCUAGAAUAGAACUGCUCAGCAGCAAUAAAAACUAAAUAAAUUGUUACCUUAAGCUACUUUUAGAGCUAUUUGGAAGUGUAUUUUUGUGCAGCUAACAUUUACUAGCAGAUAAAAUGGUGAUUGUUUAUCUCUGUUUUAUUGAUGUUUUAAGGAAAUUGUUUCUAUUAAAAGGAAAUAUCUGGUCUUUGUCACGUUAAAUCAGGUUUAGCCUGAAGUUGUCUCCUUAAAUUUGCGGCACAACUCCCACCCUGCAAUACUUCAAAUUGUUUCACCUUUUUUGACAGAACCAAGGUAUAUCUUAAAUGUACUUGAUUGAUGUCUCAUGUCUCCCUAAAAUGUAUAAAACCAAACUGUGCUCUGACUACCUUGGGUACAUGUUCUGAGGGUCUCCUGAAGGCUGUGUCACAGGCCAUGGUCUUUCAUAUUUGGCUUAAAACAAAUCUCUUCAAAUAUUUUAUGUAGUUUGACUCUUUUCCUCAAUAGAACUCAUCAUUUAACCAGUUAAGUAUUUUGAGUUAGUUUGGGAUUAAACACGAGAGUUUUGACAGGGAGCUGAAACAAUAGUAGUUUCAUCAAAAGUUGAUUCUUGGUGCAUGUAAUUUUCUAUUACAGUGAACACAGAUAAUAAUGAUGCAUAUGUCUUUACCUAGAUUAGAGAAAGGAAGAGAAAAAAUAAAAAUUUUGGAAAUGAGAUAAAAAGAUAUUGAUCUCACUGAUGUUUCUGAAUCUAAGACUGAACUCAAUUAUUAGUUGUAUUUACUGCUUAUUAGAUUUACUAAGAAAGUUCUUUAAGGUACUUACAGCCCUAAAAUUAUUUGCAAUAUUCAAUAGCAAGGGACUUAAAUACAGUCCUGAUUACUCCAUCACAAAAUGCCAAAAACAAUUAGGAUCUUAAAGGAACUACCCAAAUAGGUUUAAGAUAUCACUCAGGCCAUAAAAAUGUUUUUAAAAUUCACAUCACAAAAUAGCCAAAUGACAUAUCAGAAACAAAAGCAAAAAAGUCAUCCUAAUUCAAGGCAAUUACUUUAGCAAUUCAAAAUAAAAUGUUAAAAGUGACCAAAAAACAAAUGCAAAAUAUUUUAAUGACUUUAAAUGGCUGUAUAAUUUCCUCAUCACUUCACUUGGCAGAGUUAAGAUGGCAUUUAACCUAAGUUCACAUCAUUAAAAAAAACACUGCACCAUGAUGCUUUUCUUAAUAUGCAUUCUCAAAUUAGCAUACAGAGAAAAAUGAAACUAUAGUAGAGACGUAAAUUUAAUCCCUAUUUAGGUCACUAGGCAUUUAUUAGCCCCACCACAGGUUAAUACACUUGCAUUUGCAUCUGUUUCUAAAUGCUAAUUAUCUGACCUCAGAACACUCACUUAUGGGCUUCAUUUAUUGAAAAACAAAUCCCUAUGAUUUGAUCGUAGAGUAACUUUUAAUGUCUAACUUUACGUAGUAUAUUACAGUUUUCAAAACAUUUUUAUAAAAAGUAUUUUGUUUAUUUACAGCAACUAUAUAUCAUAGAUAUUAAUGUGUAUAUUUUGCAUUUAAGCAAGUUGGAGUUCGUAAGGUUGAAUUACUUGAAAUGUACAAAUAGAUAGUAGUGAAUAUUUAAAGUACAUUUUUAAAAAUAUGACCCAGAAAAAUAGGUGGCAUUUAAGAAAUAUAAGCAUGGUAUCUAUCUUACAUGUAUAUUAGGAGUGGACAGUUUUCUAAGAUUAGAAGCAAACAGUUGUCAAGCAAGGGUUCUAAUUUUUGUAAGUCUUGUGGGAAAGAAAGAUAAUAGAGGGUUUCAUUGCAAAGAUAUAAAACUACUCUAGAUAAUUUAAGCAAAAACUAAUCUAAUAAAUUGGGUUUUCCAAAUUAUUGAAACACCUUGAGAACUAGUGCCUGGGUAGGCCUGGAGAAAUGACUCCAGGAACAGCAUUACAGAACUCACCUGCCCAGUGGUAACAGUGCCCAGAUUGCUCUUCUCCAUUAUCCAGCCAGAGUUCCAGAUCAGCCUGAAUACUUCACCUCUGGGAAGACUUUGCAGAACCUCCAGAUUUAUGCCACCUCUAUAACCUGUGUAAUAUUAUUACAAUGCAUAUUAUGUUCUAUUUCACUUACAGUCAGCCCUCCUUAUCUGUGGGUUCCACAAACAUGGAUUCAACCCACAGUAAAAUGAAAAUAUUUGGGGAAAAAAUUAAUGUUUGAGUCUGUAUUGAACACGUAGACUUUUUCUUGUCACUGUUCCCUAAACAAUACAGUAUAACAACUAUUUACAUAGUAUUUACAUUAUAUUGGGCAUUAUAAGUAAUUAAAGAUGAUUUAAGUAUAUGGAAAGAUGUAUAUAGGUUAUAUGCAAGUACUGUGCCAUUUUAUAUAAAGCACUUGAACAUCACAGAUUUUGGUAUCAAUGAGGGGUGCUGAAACCAAUUGCCCAUGGAUACCAAGAGACAGCUAUAUUUGUUUCAAUGUGUACCUCUCCUUCUAAACUCAGUUCUUAAGCAUAUAGUAUCUUUAUAGCUAUACACCUAGUGUCUAUCAGACCCUAAACUAUGGUAGGCCCUCAAUACAUUUUAUUGUUAUAGGUAGAUAGAUAGGCAUGAGUAGGGCAGGAGAGGGCUCUCCCUCCACCCACUAGAAAUGUCAAGUGAUGUUUUAAAAAUUGUCACACUGCCUCUCAGAAAAUGAUAAUUCAGCAACCGGGGAGAGACAAUCUUCUGAUGGUCCACACCUAUUAACAUUAAAGUGUUAUUAAAGGCAGACCCCAGAAAGAAGAAACUUACUGGGCAUGCACAUUAAGAGAUAAAAACGGCAAAAUAUUAUCUUCCACGUACCCACAACUGGAAAAAAGGAAGAAAGCUUCAGGUGGGCAUAUGUACUCUUCCUAAACACACUGCGCAUGCUCACUUCCCAACUGUAGAGAGGGCUCUGCACAUACGGGAAGAAUCUCGGGAAAGAGGUGAACCUAUAAAAGGCCAAGAAUCAUGGUUGAACGGGACAUUUGACCUUCUCUCUUAAACCUUCAUGUGCCUGCUUGGGUCUCUUCCAACUGCACCUUCCUUUCUUUCCUGUUCUAAGGCCUUUUUAAAUAAACUUCCACUCAUGCUCUG
rnacentral:lncRNA from 1 species